AUGGCAUGUCUCUCUUGAGUCCUC
rnacentral:siRNA from 1 species